rnacentral:rRNA from 1 species
AGCGCGACCGCAUUCGCUUGCACCCCGUUUUCAUAAUGUAGAGAACGUAAUCCAAAAGUGGUCGCGUCAAAAACGGCCGCCUGCGUUCUUUUACUUUACCCUGAAGAAUUCUUAUUGCUCAUGAAAGGAUACAAAUCAAUCAUCCAUUGUGAGUUUCAGCAGGGGAUAAUAAAAUAUGACUUUAUUCAUAUGUUUAUUGGUCUUUCCGUUUAAUUCGAAUAAAGUAAUGACGAAGAGAAAAGAAUAGGGGAGAGUGUAUUGGAUGGGGAGAGGUGAAAUUCUUUGAUCCAUUCAGGACAAACAAAAGACGAAGGCACUUUUCAGGUGCUUUUUCUAUUGGUCAGGGAGCGAAAGCAGAGGGAUCGAAGAUGAUUAGAAACCGUCGUAGUCUCUGCCGUAAACAAUGUCGACUUUGGUAUAGAGAAUAACAAAAUAAUUGUGAAAGAUUAUUAAGUUGUUUCUUGUAUCAAUAGAGAAAUUAAAGUGUUUGGA